GCUGGCAGCUAGCUCUCUGCAACUCUCACAUGGUCGCCCACUGAAGCUAAGCAGGGCUGCGCCCGGUCAGUACCUGGAUGGGAGACCACAUGGGAAAGCUAGGUUGCUGCCGGAA
rfam:Danio rerio chromosome 14, GRCz11 reference primary assembly.